rnacentral:rRNA from 1 species
CCUACGGGGUGCUGCAGUGGGGAAUAUUGCACAAUGGGCGCAAGCCUGAUGCAGCCAUGCCGCGUGUGUGAAGAAGGCCUUCGGGUUGUAAAGCACUUUCAGCGGGGAGGAAGGCGGUGAGGUUAAUAACCUCAUCGAUUCACGUUACCCGCAGAAGAAGCACCGGCUAACUCCGUGCCAGCAGCCGCGGUAAUACGGAGGGUGCAAGCGUUAAUCGGAAUUACUGGGCGUAAAGCGCACGCAGGCGGUCUGUCAAGUCGGAUGUGAAAUCCCCGGGCUCAACCUGGGAACUGCAUUCGAAACUGGCAGGCUAGAGUCUUGUAGAGGGGGGUAGAAUUCCAGGUGUAGCGGUGAAAUGCGUAGAGAUCUGGAGGAAUUCCGGUGGCGAAGGCGGCCCCCUGGACAAAGACUGACGCUCAGGUGCGAAAGCGUGGGGAGCAAACAGGAUUAGAUACCCCUGUAGUC